ACACAUCACUGCACUGUGCAGGAUCCUCUUCUUCGGUCUGAAACGACACUUUUAUUCAUGUUCUCCAGAGAUGCUGCUUGACCCGCUGAGUUACUCCAGCACUUUGUACCUUGUUUUUGCAAACCGGCACCUGCAGUUCCUUGUU